GUUCGUGUGGUGUAGUGGUUUAUCACACCAGUUUCACACCACGUCCCCCUUGAAAGGUGUACACUGGAUGUCCUGGGUUCGAAUCCCAGCUCGAACA